AUUGAACGCUAGCGGGAUGCUUUACACAUGCAAGUCGAACGGAGUGGCGGACGGGUGAGUAAUAUAUCGGAACGUGCCCAUUAGCGGGGGGUAACUACUCGAAAAAGUGGCUAAUACCGCAUACUAUUUGAACGGCCUAUAUCGGAUUAGCUAGUUGGUGGGGUAAAGGCUCACCAAGGCAACGAUCCGUAGCUGGUUUGAGAGGAGGACCAGCAAAACGGGGACUGAGACACGGCCCAGAUCCCACCGGGAGGAAGCAGUGGGGAACUUUCGACAAUGGGGGAAACCCGGAUCAAGCAAGCCCGCGUGGAUGAGGAAGGCCUUCGGGUUGUAAAGUACUUUUGGCAGAGAAGCGGUAUCUGCAGAAUAAGCACCGGCUAACUACGUGCCAGCCGCCGCGGUAAUUC
rnacentral:rRNA from 1 species